UUUGAAGCAGCUGUCGUACAAGCGAAGACAACAGACAGGAGUUUCAGAAGGAAAUGCAUCGCCAGUUUUUAUGACUCAUGCUGGAAGUGAUGGUGCCCACGGCCUUGGUCCUGCCCUCUCUGAAGACGAGUCUCUGGUCCGUGUGAAAGUACUCGGGGGUCUUGAUGAAGCGGAAGUCUUGGUAUCUCGGCGAUAUCGUCGUUGGAUGGUGCAGUACGAGAAUCUCUGCCUCAAACUCCCAGCAUGCCUG